UACGUAGGGUGCGAGCGUUAAUCGGAAUUACUGGGCGUAAAGCGUGCGUAGGCGGUUCGUUAAGUCAGUUGUGAAAGCCCCGGGCUCAACCUGGGAAUUGCGGUUGAAACUGGCGAACUAGAAUCUGGCAGAGGGGGGUGGAAUUCCACGUGUAGCAGUGAAAUGCGUAGAGAUGCGGAGGAACACCGAUGGCGAAGGCAGCCCCCUGGGCUAACACUGACGCUCAGGCACGAAAGCGUGGGGAGCAAACAGG
rnacentral:rRNA from 1 species